rnacentral:rRNA from 1 species
UACGGAGGGUGCAAGCGUUACUCGGAAUCACUGGGCGUAAAGCGCGCGCAGGCGGCUUGAUAAGUUGGAUGUGAAAGCCUACGGCUCAACCGUAGAACUGCAUCCAAAACUGUCAAGCUAGAGUCUGGGAGGGGAAGAUGGAAUUAGUUGUGUAGGGGUAAAAUCCGUAGAGAUAACUAGGAAUACCAAAAGCGAAGGCGAUCUUCUGGAACAGUACUGACGCUGAGGCGCGAAAGCGUGGGGAGCAAACAGGAUUAGAUACCCUGGUAGUCCACGCCCUAAACGAUGAAUGUUAGUCGUCGGAGGCCUAGUGUCUUCGGUGAUGCAGCUAACGCAUUAAACAUUCCGCCUGGGGAGUACGGUCGCAAGAUUAAAACUCAAAGGAAUAGACGGGGACCCGCACAAGUGGUGGAGCAUGUGGUUUAAUUCGAAGAUACGCGAAGAACCUUACCUAGCCUUGACAUAUUUGAGAACUCUGCAGAGAUGCGGAGGUGCCUUUGGGAACUCAUAUACAGGUGCUGCACGGCUGUCGUCAGCUCGUGUCGUGAGAUGUUGGGUUAAGUCCCGCAACGAGCGCAACCCUCGUCACUAGUUACUAACGGUUCGGCCGAGGACUCUAGUGAGACUGCCUUCGCAAGGAGGAGGAAGGUGAGGACGACGUCAAGUCAUCAUGGCCCUUACGGCUAGGGCAACACACGUGCUACAAUGGCCAGGACAGUGAGACGCGAUACCGCGAGGUGGAGCAAAUCUAUAAACCUGCUCUCAGUUCGGAUUGCAGUCUGCAACUCGACUGCAUGAAGCUGGAAUCACUAGUAAUCGUGGAUCAGCCAUGCCACGGUGAAUACGUUCCCGGGUC